rnacentral:rRNA from 1 species
GACGAACGCUGGCGGCGUGCUUAACACAUGCCAGUCGAACGGAAAGGCCCUGCUUUUGUGGGGUGCUCGAGUGGCGAACGGGUGAGUAACACGUGAGUAACCUGCCCUUGACUUUGGGAUAACUUCAGGAAACUGGGGCUAAUACCGGAUAGGAGCUCCUGCUGCAUGGUGGGGGUUGGAAAGUUUCGGCGGUUGGGGAUGGACUCGCGGCUUAUCAGCUUGUUGGUGGGGUAGUGGCUUACCAAGGCUUUGACGGGUAGCCGGCCUGAGAGGGUGACCGGCCACAAUGGGACUGAGAUACGGCCCAGACUCCUACGGGAGGCAGCAGUGGGGAAUAUUGCACAAUGGGCGGAAGCCUGAUGCAGCAACGCCGCGUGCGGGAUGACGGCCUUCGGGUUGUAAACCGCUUUCGCCUGUGACGAAGCGUGAGUGACGGUAAUGAGUAAAGAAGCACCGGCUAACUACGUG